rnacentral:rRNA from 1 species
AGAGUUUGAUCCUGGCUCAGGACGAACGCUGGCGGCGCGCCUAACACAUGCAAGUCGAACGGAGCUGAGAGGAGCUUGCUUUUCUUAGCUUAGUGGCGAACGGGUGAGUAACGCGUGAGUAACCUGCCCUGGAGUGGGGGACAACAGUUGGAAACGACUGCUAAUACCGCAUAAGCCCACGGAUCCGCAUGGAUCUGCGGGAAAAGGAUUUAUUCGCUUCAGGAUGGACUCGCGUCCAAUUAGCUAGUUGGUGAGGUAACGGCCCACCAAGGCGACGAUUGGUAGCCGGACUGAGAGGUUGAACGGCCACAUUGGGACUGAGACACGGCCCAGACUCCUACGGGAGGCAGCAGUGGGGGAUAUUGCACAAUGGGGGAAACCCUGAUGCAGCGACGCCGCGUGGAGGAAGAAGGUUUUCGGAUUGUAAACUCCUGUCGUUAGGGACGAUAAUGACGGUACCUAACAAGAAAGCACCGGCUAACUACGUGCCAGCAGCCGCGGUAAAACGUAGGGUGCAAGCGUUGUCCGGAAUUACUGGGUGUAAAGGGAGCGCAGGCGGACCGGCAAGUUGGAAGUGAAAACUAUGGGCUCAACCCAUAAAUUGCUUUCAAAACUGCUGGCCUUGAGUAGUGCAGAGGUAGGUGGAAUUCCCGGUGUAGCGGUGGAAUGCGUAGAUAUCGGGAGGAACACCAGUGGCGAAGGCGGCCUACUGGGCACCAACUGACGCUGAGGCUCGAAAGUGUGGGUAGCAAACAGGAUUAGAUACCCUGGUAGUCCACACCGUAAACGAUGAUUACUAGGUGUUGGAGGAUUGACCCCUUCAGUGCCGCAGUUAACACAAUAAGUAAUCCACCUGGGGAGUACGACCGCAAGGUUGAAACUCAAAGGAAUUGACGGGGGCCCGCACAAGCAGUGGAGUAU